GGACUACCAGGGUAUCUAAUCCCGUUCGCUCCCCUAGCUUUCGCCCCUGAGCGUCAGGUGCCAUCCAGGACAGUGCCUUCGCCUUUGGUGUUCCUCCGAAUAUCUACGCAUUUCACCACUCCACUCGGAAUUCCCUGUCCCUCUCUGGCCCUCAAGUCGUGCCGUUUUCGGAACGCUCGGCCGGGUAAGCCGACCGCUGUCAUCCCAAACGUUCACGACCGCCUGCGGGCGCUUUACGCCCAGUAACUCCGGACAACGCUUGCCCCCUACGUAUUACCGCGGCUGCUGGCAC
rnacentral:rRNA from 1 species